rnacentral:rRNA from 1 species
AGGCUACUGCUAUUGGAAUUCGACUAAGCCAUGCGAGUCAAGGUGUCUUCGGACGCCGGCAAACGGCUCAGUAACACGUAGGUAAUCUACCCUCAGGACUGAGAUAACCCCGGGAAACUGGGGCUAAUACCAGAUAGAUAAAAGAUACUGGAAUGUUCUUUUAUCCAAAGCUUUUGUGCCUGAGGAUGAGCCUGCGCCCGAUUAGGUAGUUGGUGGGGUAAUGGCCCACCAAGCCUGCGAUCGGUACGGGCAGUGGGAGCUGUAGCCCGGAGUUGGGGACUGAGACAAGGCCCCAGGCCCUACGGGGCGCAGCAGGCGCGAAACCUCUGCAAUGCGGGAAACCGUGACAGGGGGAUUCCAAGUGCUCAUGCAUUGCAUGGGCUGUUCUUUGGUCUAAGUAACCAGAGGAGUAAGGGCUGGGCAAGACCGGUGCCAGCCGCCGCGGUAAUACCGGCAGCUCGAGUGGUAGCCGCGAUUAUUGGGCCUAAAACGUUCGUAGCCGGAUAAGUAAGUCUUUGGUUAAAUCCUACGACUUAACCGUGGGAAAUCUAGAGAUACUGCUUGUCUUGAGACCGGGAGAGGNNNNAGGUACUCCCAGGGUANGGGGUGAAAUCCUGUAAUCCUGGGGGGACCACCUGUGGCGAAGGCGUCCAACUGGAACGGCUCUGACGGUGAGGGAUGAAAGCUGGGGGAGCGAACCGGAUUAGAUACCCGGGUAGUCCCAGCUGUAAACGAUGCAGGCUAGGUGUUUGGACGGCCACGUGCCGUUCUAGUGCCGCAGGGAAGCUGUUAAGCCUGCCGCCUGGGGAGUACGAUCGCAAGAUUGAAACUUAAAGGAAUUGGCGGGGGAGCACCACAAGGGGUGAAGCUUGCGGUUUAAUUGGAGUCAACGCCGGAAAUCUCACCGGGAGCGACAGCAGUGUGAAGGCCAGAUUAAAGGUCUUGCCAGACGAGCUGAGAGGAGGUGCAUGGCCGUCGCCAGUUCGUGCCGUGAGGUGUCCUGUUAAGUCAGGCAACGAUCGAGACCCGCGUCCUCUGUUGCUACUAGCCUUGUGCUGGGCACACUGAGGAGACCGCCACUGAUAAAGUGGAGGAAGGAGCGGGCCACGGCAGGUCAGUAUGCCCCGAAUCUCCCGGGCCACACGCGAGCUGCAAUGGCAGGUACAAUGAGUUCCGACCUCGAAAGGGGGAGGCAAUCUCGAAAGCCUGCCGUAGUUGGGAUCGAAGGCUGCAACCCGCCUUCGUGAACAUGGAAUCCCUAGUAAUCGCGUGUCAUCAGCGCGCGGUGAAUACGUCCCUGCUCCU